rnacentral:rRNA from 1 species
ACGCUGGCGGCAGGCCUAACACAUGCAAGUCGAGCGGUAGAGAGAAGCUUGCUUCUCUUGAGAGCGGCGGACGGGUGAGUAAUGCCUAGGAAUCUGCCUGGUAGUGGGGGAUAACGUUCGGAAACGGACGCUAAUACCGCAUACGUCCUACGGGAGAAAGCAGGGGACCUUCGGGCCUUGCGCUAUCAGAUGAGCCUAGGUCGGAUUAGCUAGUUGGUGAGGUAAUGGCUCACCAAGGCGACGAUCCGUAACUGGUCUGGGAGGAUGAUCAGUCACACUGGAACUGAGACACGGUCCAGACUCCUACGGGAGGCAGCAGUGGGGAAUAUUGGACAAUGGGCGAAAGCCUGAUCCAGCCAUGCCGCGUGUGUGAAGAAGGUCUUCGGAUUGUAAAGCACUUUAAGUUGGGAGGAAGGGUUGUAGAUUAAUACUCUGCAAUUUUGACGUUACCGACAGAAUAAGCACCGGCUAACUCUGUGCCAGCAGCCGCGGUAAUACAGAGGGUGCAAGCGUUAAUCGGAAUUACUGGGCGUAAAGCGCGCGUAGGUGGUUUGUUAAGUUGGAUGUGAAAUCCCCGGGCUCAACCUGGGAACUGCAUUCAAAACUGACUGACUAGAGUAUGGUAGAGGGUGGUGGAAUUUCCUGUGUAGCGGUGAAAUGCGUAGAUGUAGGAAGGAACACCAGUGGCGAAGGCGACCACCUGGACUAAUACUGACACUGAGGUGCGAAAGCGUGGGGAGCAAAC